rfam:Myotis brandtii contig296657, whole genome shotgun sequence.
GGCAGUUUUUGGGUGAUGCACCCUGGAAUCGGGCUCCCUCCUCUCUGGUUCCAGGGUGAGUCACCCAAGAACCGCC